rnacentral:rRNA from 1 species
AUUGAACGCUGGCGGCAGGCCUAACACAUGCAAGUCGAACGAGUGGCGGACGGGUGAGUAAUGUCUGGGAAACUGCCUGAGGGAGGGGGAUAACUACUGGAAACGGUAGCUAAUACCGCAUACCAUCAGAUGUGCCCAGAUGGGUUGAGCUAGGUGGGGGGAUAACGGCUCACCAAGGCGACGAUCCCUCGCUGGUCUGAGAGGAUGACCAGCCACACGGGAAAUGAGACACGGUCCAGACGCCUACGGGAGGCAGCAGUGGGGAAUAUUGCACAAUGGGCGAAAGCCUGAUGCAGCCAUGCCGAGUGUGUGAAGAAGGCCUUCGGGUUGUAAAGUACUUUCAGCGGGGAGGCGUUACCCGCAGAAGAAGCACCGGCUAACUCCGUGCCAGCAGCCGCGGUAAUAC